CCUACGGGAGGCAGCAGUGGGGAAUAUUGGACAAUGGGCGAAAGCCUGAUCCAGCAAUGCCGCGUGAGUGAUGAAGGCCUUAGGGUUGUAAAGCUCUUUUACCCGGGAUGAUAAUGACAGUACCGGGAGAAUAAGCUCCGGCUAACUCCGUGCCAGCAGCCGCGGUAAUACGGAGGGAGCUAGCGUUGUUCGGAAUUACUGGGCGUAAAGCGCACGUAGGCGGCUUUGUAAGUUAGAGGUGAAAGCCUGGAGCUCAACUCCAGAAUUGCCUUUAAGACUGCAUCGCUUGAAUCCAGGAGAGGUGAGUGGAAUUCCGAGUGUAGAGGUGAAAUUCGUAGAUAUUCGGAAGAACACCAGUGGCGAAGGCGGCUCACUGGACUGGUAUUGACGCUGGGGUACGAAAGCGUGGGGAGCAAACAGGAUUAGAUACCCUGGUAGUCCACGCCGUAAACGAUGAUAACUAGCUGUCAGGCGUCUUAGUAGCGUUGGUUGGUCGCGAGCUACGACAUUAAGUUACUUCCGUCCGUCGGGUAGGUACGGUCGGCGAGAAGUUAAAACGUUUAAACGUUAAGUAAGUUAGUUACGGUUCGUGUUAGACGUGCCGACGGACGACGACGAGGGGAGGUUAGG
rnacentral:rRNA from 1 species